rnacentral:rRNA from 1 species
AUUGAACGCUCGCGGCAGGCCUAACCCAUGCAAGUCGAACGAGUAGCGGACGUGUGAGUCAUGUCUGUGCAACUGCCUGAUGGAGGCGGCUAACUACUGGAAACGGUAGCUAAUACCGCAUACCAUCAGAUGUGCCCAGAUGGGAUUAGCUCGUUGGUGGGGUAACGGAUCACCAAGCCGACGCUCCCUAGCUGGACUGCGAGGAUGACCAGCCAAACUGGAACUGAGACACGGUCCAGACUCCUACGGGAGGCAGCAGUGGGGAAUAUGGAACAAUGGGCGCAAGUCUGAUGCAGCCAUGCCGCGUGUAUGAAGAAGGCCUUCGGGUUGUAAAGUACUUUCAGCGGGGAGGCGUUACCCGCAGAAGAAGCACCGGCUAACUCCGUGCCAGCAGCCGCGGUAAUUC